CAUUGCGAGGUUGUUUUAUUUUUCUCCCCAGAGGAGUGAGCACCUGGAAUUCCAGAUGAAAUCAGGAGGAACUGCAACUUUUCAGAGCUUCUGAAUAUUAGAUCCUUUAUGUCCAGGUUGUAAAGGAAGAGAGGCAGGUGCUCUCCUCAGUCCUGUACUCUAACAGCAUUUCCAUCUAUCCUCCACUUGAUUUCUUCAUGAAGGAUUCUAGUGAAGAUGACUCAUAUUCACUCCACUUUAGAAUUCUGUGUUGUCAUCAGGUCAGAUAAAACUUGUGCUGGGUGCAAAGCGUCCAGUGUUUAUAGUUCUGUGGAAUAAGACUGUUGAAAUUUGAAGUCAUUGGUUUCAACACGCAAAACCUCUUUCCAGAAGCUCAGGAAAUGAUGCUUGUCUUGUGUUGAUUCCAGAAUGGAGUCAUCUUUUCUUAAUCCACUGCUGUGAAAGGACUUUGAGGCCUAUAGGGGAAUGCAGCUGAAUGCCUUUGAAGUGGUGGAAACUGAAGAAAGAUUUGCUCAAUGCUGAACCAGCUAUGUUGGCUCCUCUGCCUGAAUUCAAUUUGGUGCAUCUCAUGAAUCGCUGUUGCCCUAGGGGGGCUUGUUGCUAGUCGCUGCCAAGUCUCUUUGAGUCAUCCACAGAGCUAACCAGUCCUUGGCCUUCCUCUGGAGAAGGGUAAGUCUCUUAGACUUUCUGAGACUUGCUGAUUGGAUCUGGAGGUCAUAACACACCACCUAUGCUUCCUGGGCUCCUGAAGGCCUGUGCAUGAGGACCUGAAUUUCUGUUGUAUUGUGUG
rnacentral:lncRNA from 1 species